rnacentral:rRNA from 1 species
AGAGUUUGAUCAUGGCUCAGGAUGAACGCUGGCGGCGUGCCUAACACAUGCAAGUCGAGCGAUUCUCUUCGGAGAAAAGCGGCGGACGGGUGAGUAACGCGUGGGUAACCUGCCCUGCACACACGGAUAACAUACCGAAAGGUAUGCUAAUACGAGAUAAUAUACUUUUAUCGCAUGGUAGAAGUAUCAAAGCUUUUGCGGUACAGGAUGGACCCGCGUCUGAUUAGCUAGUUGGUAAGGUAACGGCUUACCAAGGCGACGAUCAGUAGCCGACCUGAGAGGGUGAUCGGCCACAUUGGAACUGAGACACGGUCCAAACUCCUACGGGAGGCAGCAGUGGGGAAUAUUGCACAAUGGGCGAAAGCCUGAUGCAGCAACGCCGCGUGAGCGAUGAAGGCCUUCGGGUCGUAAAGCUCUGUCCUCAAGGAAGAUAAGACGGUACUUGAGGAGGAAGCCCCGGCUAACAUACGUGCCAGCAGCCGCGGUAAUACGUAGGGGGCUAGCGUUAUCCGGAAUUACUGGGCGUAAAGGGUGCGUAGGUGGUUUCUUAAGUCAGAGGUGAAAGGCUACGGCUCUAACCGUAGUAAGCGCUUUGAAACUGGGAAACUUGAGUGCAGGAGAGGAGAGUGGAAUUCUCUAGUGUAGCGGUGAGAUGCGUAGAUAUUAGGAGGAACACCAGUUGCGAAGGCGGCUCUCUGGACUGUAACUGACACUGAGGCACGAAAGCGUGGGGAGCAAACAGGAUUAGAUACCCUGGUAGUCCACGCCGUAAACGAUGAGUACUAGCUGUCGGAGGUUACCCCCUUCGGUGGCGCAGCUAACGCAUUAAGUACUCCGCCUGGGAAGUAC